GAACCUGAAACCGUGUACGUACAAGCAGUGGGAGCACAGGUUUACCUGUGUGACUGCGUACCUUUUGUAUAAUGGGUCAGCGACUUAUAUUCUGUAGCAAGGUUAACCGUAUAGGGGAGCCGUAGGGAAACCGAGUCUUAACCGGGCGUUAAGUUGCAGGGUAUAGACCCGAAACCCGGUGAUCUAGCCAUGGGCAGGUUGAAGGUUGGGUAACACUAACUGGAGGACCGAACCGACUAAUGUUGAAAAAUUAGCGGAUGACCUGUGGCUGGGGGUGAAAGGCCAAUCAAACCGGGAGAUAGCUGGUUCUCCCCGAAAGCUAUUUAGGUAGCGCCUCGUGAAUUCAUCUCCGGGGGUAGAGCACUGUUUCGGCUAGGGGGCCAUCCCGGCUUACCAACCCGAUGCAAACUGCGAAUACCGGAGAAUGUUAUCACGGGAGACACACGGCGGGUGCUAACGUCCGUCGUGAAGAGGGAAACAACCCAGACCGCCAGCUAAGGUCCCAAAGUCAUGGUUAAGUGGGAAACGAUGUGGGAAGGCCCAGACAGCCAGGAUGUUGGCUUAGAAGCAGCCAUCAUUUAAAGAAAGCGUAAUAGCUCACUGGUCGAGUCGGCCUGCGCGGAAGAUGUAACGGGGCUAAACCAUGCACCGAAGCUGCGGCAGCGACACUGUGUGUUGUUGGGUAGGGGAGCGUUCUGUAAGCCUGUGAAGGUGGCCUGUGAGGGUUGCUGGAGGUAUCAGAAGUGCGAAUGCUGACAUAAGUAACGAUAAAGCGGGUGAAAAGCCCGCUCGCCGGAAGACCAAGGGUUCCUGUCCAACGUUAAUCGGGGCAGGGUGAGUCGACCCCUAAGGCGAGGCCGAAAGGCGUAGUCGAUGGGAAACGGGUUAAUAUUCCCGUACUUGGUGUUAC
rnacentral:rRNA from 1 species